ensembl:lncRNA
AAAAGCAAUACCGCCGCGGCAGCGAGAGCGCGAGAGAGAGCUUGGCAGGAAAUAGCUGAACAAGUCAAUGCUUGCCCCACGAGGACUUGGCAGCAAAUGAAGUACAAAAAUAUAGUUUAAACAGCAAAUCGAAAAAAUGCAGAGGCCCGGCAGACUGGAGGGGGUCCACCACCUGCAGCCCUCAGAGGCUGAGGAGAUGGCCCUCAGCCAACAGAGUAUGCGUCCUGUGGCUGAGGGCAUCCCUGGGGGGAGCUCCUCUGAUCCCCCCCACCCCCCAGGAUAGAAGUGCCUUUACAGUAUAAGAGUUACUGAUGGCGUCAUCGCCCUACUUGAACCAGAUGCCCUCACCAACCUCCAUGCAAUUGUAACAAUUCAAAAGAUGCAAAAGGAUGCUUUGGAGAUCCACAUUUUGGAACAUAAGUUAUAGGUGGGUGAGGUGCAAACUGGGAAAGGAUACUGUUCCCUGCUCUAAAAACAUACCCAAUAUAAAUGACUUUUUUCUUUUGGUGCUUUCAGGAAAUAAAAAAAUCCUCAUAAUAAGUAGAUUGUCUUUAUUAGAACACGGGCUGUGGUGG